GGAAUCUUCAUUCUUCAGCUGGCAAAUUCAAUGAUAGCACCGACGGGAACUGCAAUUUCACAACUGUAAGACACUUCAAUCAUGCUACGGUCUAGGAAGAAAAUGGUACCACCGUGGUACAAAUUGACAAUGCCACCAAUCAUAAAAACUACUGGGGAAAAGCGAGAGAGCAAAGGACGAACAAGUCACAGUUAAAUUUUAGAAACACAAUGCAAAGUCAACGCCCGAUUACCAACACCACCAUCUGGGGGAAGAUUUUUAAAAGUCAACAUUUUAACCGGCCUGAUUGACGGCUUCACAUAUUGUAUUAACCGCAUUGGUCUUACAAACUUCAAAAAAAUUUCUAAUUGAAAAGUUAUAUCCAUGCAACUGAAUAAAACAUAUGUGUCAAUACAAUAUAAGCUUCAGAAAUAUGUUGAGAUGAAGAAUUGGACUAGAUUCGUUGACCAAAUAAGUCUCGCUCAAAGGCUAUCGGUAAGAAGGUCCACAAUUAAUUUUAAAUUUUUGUUUCAUUAGCUCAAACGAAGCAUAUUAAUUGGUUGUUUAUUCUUGGAGCUGAAGUUUAAACUAUAGUAUAGAUAUUUUAUAACAAGCUUUACAGCAUUAGUAAGCACAAUAGUAAACAUAUAGAACUAAUCCAAACUCAAAUAGUCUGAAAACAAUAUAAAUAUAUAGUCUCUCUGUUUCAUAUUAAAUGUCACUUUAUAUUUAUGCAAAAUUAGAUGUUUCUAAUUUUGUAUAUUUUCUAUAUAAAACAUCAUUACUCAUCAUCUAACCAUAUUUCAACCAAUAGAAAAAUAAACUGGAAAAUAAAAUUAAUAAAAUCUGCAUUGAAAUGGUAAAACGACAAUUAUUUUGCAACAAAAAAAAUUUCUGCAACGACACUUAAUAUGAAACGGAUGGAAUAUUAUUUAAUGUAUUUCGUAAGAGAGUAAUAACUAAGAAGUGCUAUUUAGAUUUACUUAGAACACUUGGGCCUCACUUGACGAGAAUUCCCACCUAAGAGCACCAUUAACGCAGUAGCUUAGGGGGGUGCUUAGUGAUUUUUGGAUUAAAAAAAAAAGAAAAUAAUGUAUUAAGGGAAGCCACGGCGCUUAAUUAAGCUGCACAAGCAACGUAGUUUAUGAGACACGUGCCUUUCAUGGAGGGAGUUUUGCUUUCUUCUCUCCACAUCUCUCUCGAGACGGACAACACCAUUCAAACAAGGUGGCUUUGCAGCUUGUUGCCGUCGCAUGUCCAGGUUCGUUGAACUUAUUCAAUUCCAUAAACCUCGAUUCCUUCUCCUUCUACUACCCAACCAAACCCUCUCAUCGUUCGUCUUCAGAUCAGCCAUAGAGGAUGAGGUAAUCGUUCUUAUUUUUUUUUUAUACAGCUCUGUUUUCCGCCGGAGAUUGUAAAUGAGAAAUUGGAAAAAAAAAUCAAAACUUUGGUUCUGAAUAUUCGACCUCGGUUCAAGAUCUGAUGCUUAAUAUGUUAAUCGAUUCUCAUGAAAAUUAGCUUAUUGGUUUUGCUGCUUGCGUGUGGUAUGUUCAAUAUGGUAGAGUUAGAUUAGGAAUCAAAAGGCAAAACAGAGAUGGAAUCUUUGAAUCGUAGAGACUUUUUUGUAUAGACAUUGGAAUCGCAAGAGAAUAAAAGAUGAUGCUUUGAAUUCAAAGUGUAUCUCUGUUUCGAAAUGGUAGAGUAUGAUGCUUUCAUGUGUGAUUACCUCGUACUACAUCGAGAAGUAUGGUUGUUUAAUCUUUUGCUUAAGAUUCAUAAGAAUGUAUUUAAAUGUUGGGAUGAUCUUUUUCUCUUUCUCUGUGAAAAAAAAAGAAAACUUGAAGACACCUCCUCCGUCGUCAUGAAUCUAUAAUGGUAACGACUAAGCUUGACGACUGCAUUAUCAAUAAUCUGAAGGUGAAAUCAAGUUAUCAACGAGAGGGAGGCGACAUUGUUGCUAAAUAAAGUAAGGGAAGGUGUAUGAAUCACUUGUUUCCUGUCUCUGAAGAAGCUUAUGUUUGUGUUUCCUGUCUUCGUUUAUGAUGAAUCUAAAUGCUUAUAUUUGUGUUUCAGGUCAGAGUGGAGCAUUGGGAGUGGAAGAAUCACGGACUAGUGUUUGAUCUCUCUGGUCUUCUCGAUGUGGGACUGAACCGUUUGAUGUAGUGUUGUGUCCUAUUGUGUUGUCAUGUGUAGUCUUCUGUUGUUGUGGUACUGAGUCUUGUGUAGUUGUAACAUGUCUUGUGUCGUUGAUGUUCUGAGUCUUGUGUAGUCUUGUGUCACGGACUAGUAACAAGAGUAGUAAAGAAUGUUUAAGUCAUCUUCUCUCCUUUGUUGUGUCAUGUCCCAAGCAUCAUUUAUACGAAACUGAGAUAGUUUGGUUACAUUGUUGUUUGGUUAUUGAUGUAAAAAGAAACUCCAAAAUAAGCAACUUGCAUUGGAGGUCAAAAUAUUAGAAGUUGCUUAAAAAAGUGCUUAACACCUAUUUAAUACUAAACAAUUGUUUAAGCACCCCAAUAGAGUUGUUAUGGAUAAUGCUGCUCUAACAAAAAUAACAUGGUUGUGAUCGGAAGAGAGAUGUAGCAGAGAGGGAACAGACAAGGGUAGGGGCAGAGGAGAUAGAAACCGGAACAAAACAGAGUUUUAAUAACAAAACAGAUUAGAUGUUUUAAUAUAAACACAAAAGAUUAUAAGUUUAAAUGGAAUUUAUACUAAAGAAAGACCUUAAGCAGAUAAGUUCGAUAGCUGGGAAGUGAGAGUAGAUACCUGAGCAGUGACGUCAAGUGGUGGGAGAGAUGGAGCAGAAACUGAGGAAAAGGCAAAAUUAAUUGCUAUUCUCAAAUUAAGUAAUGUUGGGGAUAGUUGGAUAUGAAUUAGAAACACACUUGGUCGUGAAGCAGAGGCAGUUCCGCUGCGAACAAAGUCAUUUCCGCCGAUAAGUUGAGAGGCACACUUGCUCGUGAU
rnacentral:lncRNA from 1 species